rnacentral:rRNA from 1 species
AUUGAACGCUGGCGGCAUGCUUUACACAUGCAAGUCGAACGGUAACAGGUUAAGCUGACGAGUGGCGAACUGGUGAGUAAUGCAUCGGAACGUGCCCGGUCGUGGGGGAUAACGCAGCGAAAGCUGCGCUAAUACCGCAUACGAUCUGAGGAUGAAAGCGGGGGACCGUAAGGCCUCGCGCGAUCGGAGCGGCCGAUGUCAGAUUAGGUAGUUGGUGGGGUAAAGGCCUACCAAGCCGACGAUCUGUAGCUGGUCUGAGAGGACGACCAGCCACACUGGGACUGAGACACGGCCCAGACUCCUACGGGAGGCAGCAGUGGGGAAUUUUGGACAAUGGGCGCAAGCCUGAUCCAGCCAUGCCGCGUGUGGGAAGAAGGCCUUCGGGUUGUAAACCACUUUUGUCAGGGAAGAAACGGCCGGAUCUAAUACAGCUGGCUAAUGACGGUACCUGAAGAAUAAGCACCGGCUAACUACGUGCCAGCAGCCGCAGUAAAAC